CGGGGAUAAAAGUUAUUCAGCAGAGGCAGGGAUGCAUAGACCAGAGGGGGGGGGAAAUCCCCCCCGGCAAAUCGCACCCUGCUAAAGACGGAGGUUGUAUUAUAACAGUAUUUUGAAGUGAAUAUUUUGUGCUGGUGAAGGGGUUGUAUCACAAGAUAUCACACAGUGACAUAUAAGCAUAAACUUGAUUGGAGAGCACAUUGAGAAGUAUUUUAAAACAAGAUGCAAGUAUGUUCUCUAUAUAUGUAAUUAAUUUCUCCCAACCUUUUGUUAAUUGCUCUACUUUUAGGUCACUUCAACUCCAGCAGAUGCAGAGAGAAGGCUCUCUUUGCCCAGUACCCCAAGACUGAUUGCACUUGGUUCAUUCUGAGAAUAAACCCUGAUGGCACAAAAUGCAAAAAAAAUCAAAAUCACAGAUCAGCCGGGCAUCUGGAAAAAGGAUGCAGAGAAAAAUCGCCAGCCUGAAUCCCCUUGUGGCAUCUUUCAUCAGAGAGCUUGUUGAAUUCGAUUGGCAAAAUUAUUGAAAGAAAACACGACUAAAACAUGUUUUUACUGUU